CCUACGGGAGGCAGCAGUGGGGAAUAUUGCACAAUGGGGGAAACCCUGAUGCAGCGACGCCGCGUGAGUGAAGAAGUAAUUCGUUAUGUAAAGCCCUAUCAGCAGGGAAGAAAAUGACGGUAACUGAGUAAGAAGCCCCGGCUAACUACGUGCCAGCAGCCGAGGUAAUACGGCGGGGGAGAGCGUUAUCCGGAUUUAGUGGGUGUAAAGGGAGCGUAGACGGCAGUGCAAGUCUGGAGUGAAAGGCGGGGGCUCAACCCGCGGACUGCACUGGAAACUGGACGGCUGAAGUGCAGGAGAGGAGAGUGGAAUUCCUAGUGUAGCGGUGAAAUGCGUAGAUAUUAGGAGGAACACCAGUGGCGAAGGCGGCUUACUGGUCUGUAACUGACGUUGAGGUUCGAAAGCGUGGGGAGCAAACAGGAUUAGAUACCCGGGUAGUC
rnacentral:rRNA from 1 species